UAAGAGGUGGUGGAAGCCAGGCAGGCCAGUUGUACACUGUGAAUGAAGGUUUAAUCUAUGUCAUCCUUUGUCACAGGUGUCCUGUGCCUGGGAUGAAGUGUCACAUAGUUUGAAUCCACAUUGCUUGCCGACAUCAUGGGUGAAUGAACUUUUCCAAGAUUCUGGAAGCCUAUUGUAAUUUGUGUUCUCUACACUUUCCUGAGGUGCCAGGGAUGCCGUGACUACUAAGCUCUAUGGUAGGAGUUGGGGCAGGAGGAAACAACUUUAGAAGACACCUGUGUGCCCCUCCCUGCUUGCAUCUAGCUUCUUCAUCUGCCCAGGUGGACUGCUCUUACUGUUGCAGGAGACUUGAAAAUCAGUGGUGGUGAGACUCCAAGACUAUUAUUUUUAUUUCUGGACAAAAACAUCUGCUUCACACACUGCGCAGCAUCAAAUGAAGAGGAAAGAGCUUGUAUCCCAAAGCCCGGCUUUCUGUAUCAUCCACAAAUUAAGACAGCAUCUGCUGAGCCCAUGCUGAGCCUGUCACAGUCAACAACUGGGAAACCGGGGCCUCUACUGAACCAGGGGACAAGUAGCCGAAGCACUUAAACAGCUUGAUACUUGUUUUUUGGUACAUUUGUUUAUUUAAAAAAGCAUAGGAAAUGAAUAAAAUGCCACCUAAAAAGUA